GUUUGAUUUAACACACUGAUGUUGGAGUGAAGUAAACGUGUGUCCUGCUGUAAUCUGGAGAAGGAGACAUGAACUCCAACAUGAGUGUGUCUGGAGAACAGGACUUAAAGAAAGACGAGAGAAUGAUGGAGGGAAAGAGAUCAGACUCACCAGAACCCAGCUGUGUGUCCAUGAAGAGUGACCAGUCAAUGGGGCAUCCAAAUAACUUCAGAGACGGAGCCAGUUCUCCUGAUGUGAGACCACAAAAGAAGAAAUCAAACAUCAGCAGAAAUCAGCUGGACUCCAUAUUCAAGG